rnacentral:rRNA from 1 species
AUGCGCGAGCAACAAGGCGAGCAGCAGCAGCGACGAUGGGCGUGCCGGGACGGUGGCGGCGCUGAUGAUCUGCACCGGGAAGAGGCAGCUCUUGGUGGAGGCAUUCUUGUCGGAGAUCUUGGCGAGGCCGUCGAAGUCGCAGGCGCGCACGUCCUGGUCCUGCAUCUGGAAGUACAUGUUGAAGGCGUAGGAGAUGUUGCUCAUCUCGUCGAGGCCGUUGCAGGAGCAGCCGUAGCCCAGCGCCGUGCAGUCGCCGCUGGCGCAGGCGUACUGGAUGUUCCCCCCCAGCUUGUCCAUGUCCUCGUCCUUUGCGGCCUCGUCGUCGAACACGCACCACUGCUUGGGCAGGUACUCCACGCCGGACACGGCGGCGAGCCGCCUGUCGUUCCCUUGCCCCGACAGGUCCAUGCUGAACUUGGGCUUGCCGUCGUAGGUGAGGAUGCCCCAGUGGCGCUCGAAGUUGCCCGGCGCGAUGCUCUUCAUGUCCUCGUCGAAGAGGCCGAAGAGGUAGACGUCCAGCUUGCCCGGCCGGAGGUGGGUGCCCUCGUUCUUGCCCAGCUUCUUGAGGAGGCCGUCGUAGAAGCGCCGCGCGAGCUUGGCGUUGGCGUUCUUGUUGCCGUCGGUGGGCCAGCCGAUCUCGCCGACGACGACCUUGAGGCUGGGCACGCCGGCCUUCUUGAGCGCGCUGACGAGCGUGUCGUAGUUGGCGUCGAACACGUUGGAGUAGCUGACGCCGCCGUUGUCCUGGAUGCUGCGGCCGCCGUCGAAGAAGGCGAACUCGAAGGGGAAGUCGUCGCUCUGGUAGAGGCUGAGGAACGGGUAGAUGUUGACGACGAAGGGCGCGCCGUGGUCGUGCAUGAACUUGACCAUGUCGGUCAUGACGCCGUCGAUGUCGGGCCGGAACUUGCCCUCGGACGGCUUGUCGCCGACGUAGACGUCGGCGUUGAGCGGGACGGUGGCCUUGACCUUGUCGCCGAUCCCGGCCUCGUCCAGCGCCUUCUGGAUGUUCUUGAGCGCCGGCAGGGUGUUCUCCAUGAAGCUGCCGUUGUAGCUCUUGAGGAAGGGCUCGUUCCCCACGGCCACGUAGCGGAGCUUGAGCCUGUCCCCGUAGCUGGUGGCGUUCUCCGCCACCCAGUCCUCGGCGUUGCCGUAGCUGGUCAUCGCCUCCAGCAUGUCGUUGGGGAUGCCGAGCAUGACCUCGAUGCCGGAGUCGAGGAGCGCGCCGACGGGCCAGGGGUCCGCGUCGAACAGCUUCACCUUCAUGAUCCCGUUGGCCUUGAGCAUCUUCACCACCUCCUCGGGGUCCAGCGGGUGCGUGCACUGCGAUCCCCAGUUCACGCCCAGGUCAACGGCGGAGGUCGAGGCCACCGACGCAGGGGACACGCCCAGGGCGAGCAGCAGCGCGGCCGCGCCGGCCAGCAGCCGCAGGAGCGGAGCCAUGCCGGUGUUCUCCUUGCUUCGGCCGGCGUGAUCGUGGUUAGUUUUGGCACGUUAGGAUCUGGUGGCGCUCGUGGUCUCCGCGUCGGCCCCUCAUCCUCCCGGGGGCGUGGAAUGGACAGGACAGGAGAGGAAAAUGGCGGGGAAAUCGGUUGGGGUUGA